rnacentral:rRNA from 1 species
AUUGAACGCUGGCGGCAGGCUUAACACAUGCAAGUCGAGCGGAGAUGAGGUGCUUGCACCUUAUCUUAGCGGCGGACGGGUGAGUAAUGCUUAGGAAUCUGCCUAUUAGUGGGGGACAACAUUCCGAAAGGAAUGCUAAUACCGCAUACGCCCUACGGGGGAAAGCAGGGGAUCUUCGGACCUUGCGCUAAUAGAUGAGCCUAAGUCGGAUUAGCUAGUUGGUGGGGUAAAGGCCUACCAAGGAGACGAUCUGUAGCGGGUCUGAGAGGAUGAUCCGCCACACUGGGACUGAGACACGGCCCAGACGCCUACGGGAGGCAGCAGUGGGGAAUAUUGGACAAUGGGCGGAAGCCUGAUCCAGCCAUGCCGCGUGUGUGAAGAAGGCCUUUUGGUUGUAAAGCACUUUAAGCGAGGAGGAGGCUACCUGGAUUAAUACUCUAGGAUAGUGGACGUUACUCGCAGAAUAAGCACCGGCUAACUCUGUGCCAGCCGCCGCAGUAAAAC